rnacentral:tRNA from 1 species
GUGUUUCCAAGCGGUGUUGAAGCGACUGAAAAUCGCAGUGUCGGUGGUUCGAUUCCGCCCCUGGGCACCA